GCGGUGAAAUGCGUAGAUAUCGGGAGGAACACCAGUGGCGAAGGCGGCUUCCUGGACCAGUACUGACGCUAAGGCGCGAAAGCUAGGGGAGCAAACAGGAUUAGAUACCCUGGUAGUCCUAGCCUUAAACGAUGUGCACUUGGUGUCGGGGGUAUCGACCCCUCCAGUGCCGAAGCUAACGCAUUAAGUGCACCGCCUGGGGAGUACGGUCGCAAGGCUGAAACUCAAAUGAAUUGACGG
rnacentral:rRNA from 1 species